GGCCGACUAGCUCAGUUGGUUAGAGCGUCGUGCUAAUACUAUGCUCCAAUAAAUCCCUGCUGUUAACGCGAAGGUCUUGGGUUCGAUCCCCACGUUGGCCA